CGCGUCACAUGCUCCAAUGUACACCAGAGAGCACUUGGAUCACAGAUAAGAUGGCGGUUGGAUCAGAUGGGUUUAUGUGCACCAACGCUCAGUGACACGAACGGAUUUGAGCACUCCCUUCCCUUCCAAUCGCACAUCGUACAUCAUUGACCGAUUAGAAAAUCCUGUACCUUUGGCAGGAAUUGGUGAAUUGUUAGAAGACAAUGGGAACGACGAUGAAAUAGAAAAUAUUGCCAUUAACGCAAUCGUUGAAAUUGCAGAAGGUUUCGUUCAAAGAAUACAUAGGACAUGCAUAACCAAUUACAUUGAAAAUACAGUGCCUAUGUAUACAGAUAGAGAAUUUGUUAUGCAUUUUCGUUUGAAAAGAACGCUUUUUAUGAGUAUGGUAGAGAAAUUUAUAGCGUUUUCGA